AAUUUUAACCAAUUUUAUUUGUAACCUGCUUAUUCUACAUCACUCAUCAGCCWAGUUGAACGGAUAUUUUCACAGGUUAAUCUAAUGAAAAUUUAGUCGAGAAAUAAGCUAAAAACGAGUACAAUUUCAUCUUUACUGACUCAUGUUUAUUUAGUCUUGCGAAUUUUAGUAUGCAAAAAACGCGCGAUUUUUUGGAGCCCUUUUUUUUGUGAUGAGGUUUUGGACCACCCAACCAGCUCGAGGUGUGCGUAACAGAGCAUUUCCAAAAUCUCACCAGAUGGAGCCCUUAAUAAUAAAAGAAAAAUGAGUCUACCGAUUUUCUACUGAAAAGUGUCGAGCUUAUCUACCGAAACUCGAUUUUCGGACCUGGCAACCCUGUGGGGAAGCGAGUCGAACUCCGGCGAACGGUUUCCGACUGUGCGCUCUCGUGUAAUGACAGUUCUGCGUUAAUAAUGUUUGCUCAGACCGUGAGCGCGCUGUUUCGCGCUUCUGAGCUGAUCUCAGCUGAUCGAAGAAGUUAUUUUCAUGCUUGCCAGGUCUACCGUUUUUACGGUGGAUCUCUGUUUUCAUGAGAGCUCCUGCUCUACCGCUAUCAGAACCUACUACUAAACGUUACGUUAAAUACUUUAAAUCUAACUAUUAUAUAUUACACUAUUUGUCAACAAAUCAACUACAUUGCACUGCGAUUGGCGAUUGGAUUACAUGUUUUUUCUUUCGUUUUUCGUUUCCUAAAGCGCGCCUCGGAGCUUCGCUGACACCUUCUUGGCUGAAGACCACUUAAAAAGUUCGAAACGCUCAAAUUUACGAACAUUUAAUUAUCUCCCGUUUUGUUUUUAAAUCUAUUCUAUAACUAUCUAUCUAAUCUAUGUUUUUCAUGUCUAUUCUACCGCUUUUGUAGUACUUGACCUGGCAACACUGGUCAUGUUGUGAAAAUUUUAACCAUAUUUUUCCAAAAACAAAACAAAAUGGUUGCUUAAGUGAUUCUAAUUUGCUUCACAGGAAUUCACAAUGCACAGAUGUUUCGUCGGCUUUUAUGUUUGGUGGUUUUUACAACCAGUCUUUUACAUUAUCGGUUUUCCAAUAGCGGUAGGAAAUAUUUCUUCGAUCGAUCAUAUUUGAUCGUCAUACUCAUAAAGACAAGCCCGGAGUAUAGAUUAUGAGUGAAGUAUUUCAGUGCUUAUUUUAACAAAUAUCUUAAAUGGAACAUAAGUGUGGAUGUUAUUGCUAAUAAGGCAAAAAGGCACUUUAUAUUUUAAGAUGCAUCUCAUUUAGAUUUCGAAGCAGCCCUCUUGAAACUAGUUAACCAAAAAACGCUCAACCAAUAAGCUGAAUGUAGUUUAAUGCGGAGGCCUUUAUAUUUGCCUGCUUUACACGAGAUCCACCCCUAGAGCAGCAUUCUUGGCUGCUGCUCUACCUAUGGUGGAGUGGGAGCAGAAAGGGAAAGUUGCUGCUGUAAAAACGAAAUCUCUAUCUAUGGAUAUUCAAAUUUGAAGAUGAAAAUCCGGUUUGCUGAAAUGUUCUUUGUUACACGUAUGUACCGAUGCUCUUAGUUAUAUGAGCAUCUAAUUUAUUUAAAGAUGAAUAGGUAGCACCUUUUAAGAAAGGUUAUCGUAAUUGAGCUGCUAUAAAGAUGUUCAGCCGAUUAUUGAUACCUUGCUUUAUAACGAUUACAAAUGUCCGCCAAAAACCAUUUAUUUUAUUUAUUAUAACUUAUAUUUUCCAAUGUGUAAUGUAUGUAACAAGUGUGCAAAAUAUCAAUACGUAUUUAUGCAAUUGCUU